rnacentral:tRNA from 3 species
GCGGUCGUGGUGAAACUGGUAGACACGCAGCGUUGAGGUCGCUGUGGAGUAAAAUCCUUGCAAGUUCGAAUCUUGUCGACCGCA